CCUUAACCCAAGUAAGAAACAGAGCGAUGCCUAUGUUGGAAAUCUCAACAAAUAGCAAGUCCCAGCACUAGAACUGUAUUCCGGUCACAAGAAAAAUAAUGUUGAGUGAAAUGCAUCAUACAGAUUUCUAACAUGUAUGAAUUCUCUCCAGCAUGUUUUCAAAUCCUCAGCAUAUCAUUACCUACAAUAUGUGUUCUAGCUCACAGUAACUGAAGAUAAUCAAUGCAGUAGAAUAUUCAAGUGACAGACAAGAAAGGAAUAAGAGAACCCAAAAGGAGGAAGAAGAACUAAGAGCAAAUGGAUAUAUGUUACUUUAGAACCAAGCAAUUCACCUCAGCUAUUACCAUUUAGUUACUGUCCAAUAAGAGAGACGUGUGGCAGGAAUGUUGUAAUGCUCUCUAUGUGUUAGGCAGUUGACAUUGUACUGCAUAACUUGGAAGCAGACUCUUGGAACCAGAUGAACGGAACUACAUCUCUUUUCCUUUCCAUAACCAAAAGAUAAUAAACUCUCUCAUUCAUGUGCC